rnacentral:rRNA from 1 species
GAUGAACGCUGGCGGCGUGCCUAAUACAUGCAAGUCGAGCGAACGGACGAGAAGCUUGCUUCUCUGAUGUUAGCGGCGGACGGGUGAGUAACACGUGGAUAACCUACCUAUAAGGCUGGGAUAACUUCGGGAAACCGGAGCUAAUACCGGAUAAUAUUUUGAACCGCAUGGUUCAAAAGUAAAAGACGGUCUUGCUGUCACUUAUAGAUGGAUCCGCGCUGCAUUAGCUAGUUGGUAAGGUAACGGCUUACCAAGGCAACGAUGCAUAGCCGACCUGAGAGGGUGAUCGGCCACACUGGAACUGAGACACGGUCCAGACUCCUACGGGAGGCAGCAGUAGGGAAUCUUCCGCAAAGGGCGAAAGCCUGACGGAGCAACGCCGCGUGAGUGAUGAAGGUCUUCGGAUCGUAAAACUCUGUUAUUAGGGAAGAACAUAUGUGUAAGUAACUGUGCACAUCUUGACGGUACCUAAUCAGAAAGCCACGGCUAACUACGUG